UGAGGAAUCUUGCGCAAUGGGGGAAACCCUGACGCAGCAACGCCGCGUGAGUGAGGAAGGCCUUCGGGUCGUAAAGCUCUGUCGGGUGGAAAGAAACGCAUAGGUGCUAAUAUCAUCUAUGCUUGACGGUACCACCAAAGGAAGCACCGGCUAACUCCGUGCCAGCAGCCGCGGUAAUACGGGGGGUGCAAGCGUUGUUCGGAAUCAUUGGGCGUAAAGAGCGUGUAGGCGGCCGGAUAAGUCAGAUGUGAAAUCCCUGGGCUCAACCCAGGAAGUGCAUUUGAAACUGUUCGGCUAGAGUAGGGGAGAGGGAAGUGGAAUUCCUGGUGUAGAGGUGAAAUUCGUAGAUAUCAGGAGGAACACCGGUGGCGAAGGCGACUUCCUGGCCCUAUACUGACG
rnacentral:rRNA from 1 species